rnacentral:rRNA from 1 species
AGAGUUUGAUCCUGGCUCAGGAUGAACGCUAGCUACAGGCUUAGCACAUGCAAGUCGAGGGGAAACGACAUCGAAAGCUUGCUUUUGAUGGGCGUCGACCGGCGCACGGGUGAGUAACGCGUAUCCAACCUGCCCACCACUUGGGGAUAACCUUGCGAAAGUAAGACUAAUACCCAAUGACGUCUCUAGAAGACAUCUGAAAGAGAUUAAAGAUUUAUCGGUGAUGGAUGGGGAUGCGUCUGAUUAGCUUGUUGGCGGGGUAACGGCCCGACCAAGGCGACGGAUCAGUAGGGGUUCUGAGAGGAAGGUCCCCCCACCAUUGGAACUGAGACACGGUCCAAACUCCUACGGGAGGCA